ACGGGAGGCAGCAGUGGGGAAUAUUGGACAAUGGGGGCAACCCUGAUCCAGCGACGCCGCGUGGGUGAAGAAGGCCUGCGGGUUGUAAAGCCCUUUCGGUUGGGAAGAAAAGCUGCGACCUAACACGUUGCGGCCUUGACGUAACCAACUAAAGAAGCACCGGCUAACUCUGUGCCAGCAGCCGCGGUAAUACAGAGGGUGCGAGCGUUAAUCGGAAUUACUGGGCGUAAAGCGCGCGUAGGCGGCUUUUCAAGUCGAUUGUGAAAUCCCCGGGCUUAACCUGGGAACUGCAGUCGAGACUGUCUAGCUAGAGUAUGGGAGAGGGAAGUGGAAUUUCAGGUGUAGCGGUGAAAUGCGUAGAUAUCUGAAGGAACAUCAGUGGCGAAAGCGACUUCCUGGACCAAUACUGACGCUCAUGUGCGAAAGCGUGGGGAGCAAACAGGAUUAGAUACCCUGGUA
rnacentral:rRNA from 1 species